GACGAACGCUGGCGGCGUGCUUAACACAUGCAAGUCGAACGAUGAAGCCCAGCUUGCUGGGUGGAUUAGUGGCGAACGGGUGAGUAAUACGUGAGUAACCUGCCUUUAACUCUGGGAUAAGCUUUGGAAACGGGGUCUAAUACCGGAUACGACCAACCCUCGCAUGGGGUGUUGGUGGAAAGGGAUUUUGUACUGGUUUUAGAUGGGCUCACGGCCUAUCAGCUUGUUGGUGAGGUAACGGCUCACCAAGGCGACGACGGGUAGCCGGCCUGAGAGGGUGACCGGCCACACUGGGACUGAGACACGGCCCAGACUCCUACGGGAGGCAGCAGUGGGGAAUAUUGCACAAUGGGCGCAAGCCUGAUGCAGCGACGCCGCGUGAGGGAUGACGACCUUCGGGUUGUAAACCUCUUUCAGCAGGGGAGAAGCGAAAGUGACGGUACCUGCAGAAGAAGCGCCGGCUAACUACGUG
rnacentral:rRNA from 1 species